rnacentral:rRNA from 1 species
CCUACGGGUGACAGCAGUGGGGAAUUUUGGACAAUGGGGGAAAGCCUUAUCCAGCGACGCCGCGUGAGCGAAGAACGUUUUCGGAUUUUAAACCCCUGUCAGUGGGGCCGAUAUUGACGGUACCCACGGAGGAAGCCACGGCUAACUACGUGCCAGCAGCCGCGGUAAUACGUAGGGUGCAAGCGUUGUCCGGAAUUAUUGGGUGGAAAGGAGGCGUAGGCGGGAUGUAAAGUCCGAAGUGAAAAUUAGGGGAUCAACUCAUAUCCUGCUUUUGAAACUUGUAUUCUUGAGUGAAGUAGAGGCAAGCGGAAUUCCUAGUGUAGCGGUGAAAUGCGUAGAUAUUAGGAGGAACACCAGUGGCGAAGGCGGCUUACUGGGCCUUUACUGACGCUGAGGCUCGAAAGCGUGGGGAGCAAACAGGAUUAGAUACCCUAGUAGUC